rnacentral:rRNA from 1 species
GACGAACGCUGGCGGCGUGCUUAACACAUGCAAGUCGAACGGAAAGGCCCUGCUUUUGUGGGGUGCUCGAGUGGCGAACGGGUGAGUAACACGUGAGUAACCUGCCCUCGACUUUGGGAUAACUUCAGGAAACUGGGGCUAAUACCGUAUAGGAGCUCCUGCUGCAUGGUGGGGGUUGGAAAGUUUCGGCGGUUGGGGAUGGACUCGCGGCUUAUCAGCUUGUUGGUGGGGUAGUGGCUUACCAAGGCUUUGACGGGUAGCCGGCCUGAGAGGGUGACCGGCCACAUUGGGACUGAGAUACGGCCCAGACUCCUACGGGAGGCAGCAGUGGGGAAUAUUGCACAAUGGGCGGAAGCCUGAUGCAGCAACGCCGCGUGCGGGAUGACGGCCUUCGGGUUGUAAACCGCUUUCGCCUGUGACGAAGCGUGAGUGACGGUAAUGGGUAAAGAAGCACCGGCUAACUACGUG